UACGGAGGGUGCAAGCGUUAUCCGGAUUCACUGGGUUUAAAGGGUGCGUAGGUGGGUCUGUAAGUCAGCGGUGAAAUCUCCGGGCUUAACCCGGAAACUGCCAUUGAUACUAUAGAUCUUGAAUUGUCUGGAGGUAAGCGGAAUAUGUCAUGUAGCGGUGAAAUGCUUAGAUAUGACAUAGAACACCAAUUGCGAAGGCAGCUUACUACGGAUUGAUUGACACUGAGGCACGAAAGCGUGGGGAUCAAACAGGA
rnacentral:rRNA from 1 species